GACGAACGCUGGCGGCGUGCUUAACACAUGCAAGUCGAACGGAAAGGCCCUGCUUUUGUGGGGUGCUCGAGUGGCGAACGGGUGAGUAACACGUGAGUAACCUGCCCUUGACUUUGGGAUAACUUCAGGAAACUGGGGCUAAUACCGGAUAGGAGCUCCUGCUGCAUGGUGGGGGUUGGAACGUUUCGGCGGUUGGGGAUGGACUCGCGGCUUAUCAGCUUGUUGGUGGGGUAGUGGCUUACCAAGGCUUUGACCGGUAGCCGGCCUGAGAGGGUGACCGGCCACAUUGGGACUGAGAUGCGGCCCAGACUCCUACGGGAGGCAGCAGUGGGGAAUAUUGCACAAUGGGCGGAAGCCUGAUGCAGCAACGCCGCGUGCGGGAUGACGGCCUUCGGGUUGUAAACCGCUUUCGCCUGUGACGAAGCGUGAGUGACGGUAAUGGGUAAAGAAGCACCGGCUAACUACGUG
rnacentral:rRNA from 1 species